AUACUUACCUGGUACGGGAGGCACCCUGAUCCGCUAGGUGGUCCCUCCCAGGGCGAGGCCUAACCAUUGCACCUCGGAUGGGCUGCCCCCUUGCGAUCGACCCAAAAUGUGGGCGAAUCGAGUACCGAAAUUUUGAUAGUGUGGGGUUCGGGCGUUCGCGCGAAACCCCC